rnacentral:rRNA from 1 species
UACGUAGGGUGCGAGCGUUAUCCGGAUUUACUGGGUUUAAAGGGUGCGUAGGUGGACAGGAACGUCAGUGGUGAAAUCUUCGAGCUUAACUCGGAAACUGCCAUUGAUACUAUUUGUCUUGAAUACUUUGGAGGUAAGCGGAAUAUGUCAUGUAGCGGUGAAAUGCUUAGAUAUGACAUAGAACACCAAUUGCGAAGGCAGCUUACUACACAGUUAUUGACACUGAGGCACGAAAUCGUGGGGAUCAAACAGU